GAUGAACGCUGGCGGCGUGCCUAAUACAUGCAAGUCGAACGGACAGACGAGGUGUUUGUUCCUCUGACGUUAGAGGCGGAUGGGUGAGUAACACGUGGCUCACCUGCCUAUUAGACUGGACUUACUUCGGGAACCCGGAGCUAAUACCGGAUAAUAUAUUGAACCGCAUGGUUCAAUAGUGAAAGGCGGUUUUGCUGCUACUUAUAGAUGGUGAGGCGCCGCAUUAGCUAGUUGGUGAGGUAGUGGUUUACUACGACGACGGUGCGUAGCAGACGUGAGGGCUGGAUCGGUCACCCUGGAACUUAGACAUGGGACAGAGUCCAGAGGCAGGCAGCAGGAGGGAAUCGUGCGCAAUGGGCGAAAGGCUGACGGAUGAACGCGGCGUGAGGGAUGAAGGUUUUCGGAUCUUAAAACGCUGUUAUCAGGGAAGAACAAAUGUGUAAGUAAGUAGGCACGGCUUGAAGGUACCUAAUCAGAAAACCACGGCUAACUUCGUG
rnacentral:rRNA from 1 species